rnacentral:tRNA from 1 species
GGGUGCCAUAAGACCUGGUAACUCUUUNNUGUGGAACUAACACACCAGUUCCCUGUUC